UACGGGGGGAGCAAGCGUUGUUCGGAUUUACUGGGCGUAAAGGGCGCGUAGGCGGUCGUGACAAGUCACUUGUGAAAUCUCCGGGCUUAACUCGGAACGGUCAAAUGAUACUGUCGGACUAGAGUACAGAAGGGGCAACUGGAAUUCUCGGUGUAGCGGUGAAAUGCGUAGAUAUCGAGAGGAACACCUGCGGCGAAGGCGGGUUGCUGGGCUGAUACUGACGCUGAGGCGCGAAAGCCAGGGGAGCGAACGGG
rnacentral:rRNA from 1 species